GGUCGGGCUCGCCGAGGUGGGCCGGGGCUCGGGUCCCCGGCGGGCCGGGUUCGCUGAGGUGGGCCGGGGCUCAGGUCCUCGGCGGGCCG
rnacentral:tRNA from 1 species